GUAACUGAUAGCAUUAAAUCCUCUGCAUUUAGCCCCUGAUGCCAGGCAGGUGCGCCAGGGCUCCCUCCUCGGUGAUUUCUUCAGUGACCUGGUUAGCCACCUAGCAGAACAUCUUGCUGGUGAUAGGAAAGAGGAUCCACUUCUUCUAGUCUUGGUGGAGUCCACACAACCCUCCAGGGACUGGGCCAGGGCUGGGGACAUGGAGAGGAUCCACCCUGCCCCUGCAGCAAUUCUCAGAUCUGGGUGGAAGGGCCAGCAUGGAAACAAACAAGUACCUGCAGGGUGUUGGGUUUUGCAACAGUUGCUAGGGGAGCACAGAGGAGGCUUGACUGACACUGUCUGGAGAGGGAGAUGGGGGCGGGGAGAAGAGGCUUCACAAAACAGUGUCAUCUGCGUGGGGUUUUGAAGGAUGACUAAAAGCUUCCCAAAAGGAUAAGGCAGGAAAAAGAAUCCAGGAGGAAGGACUCACAUAUGGAAAGGCAGAGAGGGAACAAAGGACGCGCUGUGUCUCAGAAACAACUGGCAAAGUAGCAGAGGCCCAGAAAGGAGGCGGGAUGAGUAAGGCGCUGGGCAGCGUCCUUCCAAGCAGCGCCGCUCCAUGCCCUGACAGCGGGGCAACAGCAAAUCGAAGCUCUACUCUGCAGCUGCUAAGGAAAUGGUGGAGCACGCCUUAAGUCUGUUCUGUGGUGUGCAGCCCUUGUGCUAGCUCAUAAUCCACUAAUGGGAAUUGUCUUCUCAAGGAAUCCAACUCUUUCCUACUUGAAAAGACCACUGGGCAGAUUAUCUGAACCUUUAGGCAACUGUGAUAAUGUGAAAUGUGAUGAUUACUUGACUAUAAUUUUGAAGAACCUGACAUUUCAUGGAAGAGGGAUCCAGGGCUCUGGGAGAUGAAGGGACCACUCAACCCUAUCAUGGCAGGAUAAGC
rnacentral:lncRNA from 1 species